UACGGAGGGAGCGAACGUUGUUCGGAUUUACUGGGCGUAAAGGGUGUGUAGGCGGUCUUGCAAGUCAGGGGUGAAAUCUCUCGGCUCAACCGAGAAACUGCCUUUGAGACUGCAGGACUUGAGGGCGUGAGAGGAGACUGGAAUUCCUAGUGUAGCGGUGAAAUGCAUAGAUAUUAGGAGGAACACCAGUGGCGAAGGCGAGUCUCUGGCACGCAUCUGACGCUGAAACACGAAGGCCAGGGGAGCGAACGGG
rnacentral:rRNA from 1 species